GACGAACGCUGGCGGCGUGCUUAACACAUGCAAGUCGAACGAUGAAGCUAGAGCUUGCUCUGGUGAAUUAGUGGCGAACGGGUGAGUAACACGUGAGUAACCUGCCCCGAACUCUGGGAUAACUGCUGGAAACGGUAGCUAAUACUGGAUACGACCUACGAAGGCAUCUUCUGUAGGUGGAAAGAAUUUCGGUUCGGGAUGGACUCGCGGCCUAUCAGCUUGUUGGUGAGGUAAUGGCUCACCAAGGCGACGACGGGUAGCCGGCCUGAGAGGGUGACCGGCCAACCUGGGACUGAGACACGGCCCAGACUCCUACGGGAGGCAGCAGUGGGGAAUAUUGCACAAUGGGCGCAAGCCUGAUGCAGCAACGCCGCGUGAGGGAUGACGGCCUUCGGGUUGUAAACCUCUUUUAGUAGGGAAGAAGCGAAAGUGACGGUACCUGCAGAAAAAGCACCGGCUAACUACGUGCCAGCAGCCGCCGUAA
rnacentral:rRNA from 1 species